UGAUGAUGAUGAUGAUGAUGAUGAUGAUGAUGAUGAUGAUGAUGAUGAUGAUGAUGAUGAUGAUGAUCAUGGUCAUGGUCAUGGUCAUGAGCUUGU
rnacentral:miRNA from 1 species